UUUGGAAGCGUUCAGGAUUUCGAGAGUCCGCCAUCCCAGCCAGUCAUGGCGAGUGGCGAUCGUCACUGCGGCUGCUGGAGUACUGCACGACGCCAACUCUCACAGAAGGAAUCGGACGUUGAAAAUUGAGGCGCCAAGAACUGUGACUUCGAAAUGGAACGCUAUGUUUUCAAGUACGGUAAUGACGCAGUCUGAAGGAAAUAAGCAGAACCCGAGACGUACUAUUUCAAGCCUUCUGGAUGUAAUGCGCUUCAAGAAAUCCACCAUCCGAUUCAGUUGUGGCGACCGCUCUGCCACUACGGUUGCUGCUCCAUGCUAACCCUCACAAUAGGAAGCGGGCAUUCAAAUGAUGCUGGCCGUUGAGAUUCAACUUGGUGCCAAGAACUGUCACCGCUAUGAAGUCCAAAGGAAAGAGAGAAAAAAUUCCAUGUCAUUGCAUUUUAUGACAGCGACUUUCCUCUGCGAUGAGGUUCCUGAUAUUAACAAAGGGGAGCAUUGAACAGUAUGCCUUUUGCGGCUGAAGGCGCCAGCGGCAUGCUGAGUAUCGACUGAUUCAGAGCUGGAAACUACCUCGGGGAAUUCUGGGCCUGUGUACCUGCGGAUGCUUUCUAACGGUUAACUAAUGGAGAAGGUUCCCAAAUCUGCAUUUACUCAAUUUUAUUUUCUGUCUUUUACUUCUAAAUUUUUCUCUAAACUCACGGUCAA